GACGAACGCUGGCGGCGUGCCUAAUACAUGCAAGUCGAACGCGUCUACGUUAAUGAAAUCAAUGUGCUUGCACGGCGAUGGAUUUAACAUUAGACGAGUGGCGAACUGGUGAGUAACACGUGGGUAACCUGCCCUCAAGCAGGGGAUAACACUUGGAAACAGGUGCUAAUACCGUAUAACAACAAAAACCGCAUGGUUUUUGUUUGAAAGAUGGUUUCGGCUAUCACUUGAGGAUGGACCCGCGGCGUAUUAGCUAGUUGGUGAGGUAAUGGCUCACCAAGGCAAUGAUACGUAGCCGACCUGAGAGGGUAAUCGGCCACAUUGGGACUGAGACACGGCCCAAACUCCUACGGGAGGCAGCAGUAGGGAAUCUUCCACAAUGGACGAAAGUCUGAUGGAGCAACGCCGCGUGAGUGAAGAAGGAUUUCGGUUCGUAAAACUCUGUUGUAAGGGAAGAACAAGUAGCGUAGUAACUGGCGCUACCUUGACGGUACCUUAUUAGAAAGCCACGGCUAACUACGUGCCAGCCGCCGCCGUAACAC
rnacentral:rRNA from 1 species